UCCCUGGUGGUUCAGUGGUUAAGAGUCUGUGUUCCCGAUGCAGAGGGCCUGGGUUAAAUCCCUGGUCGGGGAA
rfam:TPA: Bos taurus chromosome 3, whole genome shotgun sequence.